rnacentral:ncRNA from 1 species
ACACCCGCUCCUCCUCCCUGAGCGGGCGAGUCCUGGUCCACAUACACCAGGAUAUUGUUUGCCCCGGGCUCAUCGUAAUAGAUAAGGUCCGGGGCCUUUUUUU